UUCUGCCCCACCUACUAACCAGACACUCUUGUUCUGCUGUUUGUUAGACACUGAGUUUAGAUACUCUGCUGUAUUUCGGUUUGCUGUUCUGUUAGAUUAUCUGGGAUUAUGUAUCUUCACUCCUCAGAUCUGGAAAUGUGUUGUAAACCAAUCUAGCUAAUAUCAGAUCUAGCAAUCUGUUCCUGAGGCUUUCUGGGAAACUGAGCCUCAACUGCUCCUGGAGGAAGCACAACUCAUACUAAUAAAGAACGCACUGGACUUGUCUAAAUAUAUAUAACUUUUGGUCUUUCAUCUUUCAAUUGUUUUCACCUGUUUUUAACAUCAUUUUAACACCUCUCUCUGAAACUGCUCUGUUGAAAAACCUGGAUUUUAAUGUACAUACUGCUCAGAUUCUUUGUAUGAUAAUUGCUAAGAGAUGCAUCAUAAAACUGUGGAAAUCUGAUGUUGCCCCCAAGCUUGAGACUUGGCCUCCUUUUUUAUUUAUUUAUCUGGUUAUUUUAUUUUAUUUUUUCGUUUUCUCUUAUUUCACACGUGUUUGUCAUUGUUACAAAUUUGUCUUUUUUUUGUUUUCUGAUCACUGUUCAUGUCUUUGUUAUCGUCUUAUAAUUUAAAUCUUAAACAAAAUGUUAAAAAAAGAACGCACUGUACUGUGGUUACUUAUUUCGAUCAAACACUUUAUAAUCAGAUUCUUCACAUUGCACCUUUUAACCUACUUGAAAGUGGAGACCAGUGAUCUUCACGUGUUCAUGGUUUGAGAAACUGAUUCCUGUGGACAACAAUGUUCUAGUGAACUCUUAAAGAUUUGUCUCACACAACACAAGUGCAUCCAUCCAUAAAACCGAAAGUUGUUCUUUUAGAUUUUACAUUUAAUCAAACUGGAGCAGACGCUUUGAUUGUGGAAUCAUGUUUUCACUGUCUCAGGAAGAUUUUUUUCAACUUGGAAAGACACUGAAGCUAUUUUACUUGUUUUUAUUUCUUCUUUAUUGCUGUAACAGUAUUUUUACCUUCCUGACAUUUUAGAAAGAAUUCAGCUGCUAGAUGUUUAACAAGAACCAAGAAGCCUCGUUACAGUGGCUCCCAGUAUGUUCAGGGAAAGAUUUGUAGAUUUAUUGGUCACUUUUAAGGCACCUAAUGACCUCUUUCCUCAUUAUAUUUCUAACCUUUAAAUAUCUUCUGUCUCUACUUUUACUAGCAUCCUUUACUUAAUAUUUUUGAGGUUUUAUUUUCCUUCAGUUUUCUGUUAUUUGGUUCAAUAAUGAUUUCAUAUCUUGUUUUGUAAACACCACAAUGUGCUUUUAUCCGUCUUUUAAUUUGUAAUGAUUUUAUGAUUUUUCUGUUUUAUUUUGCUCCCUUCUGAAGCACUUUGUAACCUGGAUUUGAAAAGUUCCCCAUAAGUGCUUGUUGCUGUAUAAAUAUAAAGCUGAAUGGAAAUUGAAGUAGCACACCCUCACUGAACAAGUAAGACUGAUGUUUAGAAUCACACUUCAUUUUAUAUACAAAUGGACCCUGUUACUUUGACGAAUAUAGUUUUUGUGGACACACAGAAACCCUUCAGAUGUCUGCAGUCAGAUGAAAUGUUUCUGCAUGUGGAGCUAAUUGUUGUUGUCUGUGCUCUUUUCUAGACAGAGACUCGCUACUCUUUGGUGAGCAUCGUGAGCCAUUUGGGUUCCACAGUUCACAGAGGCGACACGUCAGACCGUUGGCUCACCUACAAUGUUGAGCACGUCACCAUGACAACGGGUGAAUCUGUGUGUCGCCUGCGCCAAAGAGAAGCGUACCUUCUGUUUUAUGAAAAGCAGUGAGGGAACGUGGAGACCAGCCCUCCGAAAAAGAAGAGGCCAACCGCUAGAGGAGACAGUAGGCGGUGGUGGUAGUGUCUGUCAACAAAGACAUUCAGUCAUAGCAACAUGUUUAACAUAAUUCAAUUAUUAGAAUUAGAAUUGAAUUAUGUUAAACAACCCACACAUAUUAAGUUAGGGGAACUGAGAAAUAAUGAAAAUUUAAUCUAAAAUAUUUUCUGUAAUAAUCCAAAAAUUAUUCUGAAAAUGUUUAUGGAAUAAUCUAAAUAUUUGUCAAUUUUUUUAUUUAAUAAUCCAAAAAAAAAUCAUCCAAUUUUUUUUAUAUAAAAUCUAAAUAUUUGUCUAAAAGUUUUUAUAUAA